UUUCAUUUAAAAGAAAGUUUCCAAGUCAAUUCAAAUAACGAAACUAUCAUUAUGGCAGUAUACUGAUUUUGGGGUAAGCAAGGGUUUCAGUACACAUAUAGACUGAUUUAGGAAGAACCAGCAUGGGAGUUGCUGACACAUCUCCUCUGGGUUUGGGUUAGGAUAGCAACAAGUCAGGUUUUUUUUUCAUUUCAGGGUAAAUUUUUACAUUACUCUUUAUUUAUAUGUAUUUAAAUAAUAUUUGAACACAAGUGUCUUUUUAUUUAUUUUAGAACUAAAAAUUGCAAAUCUUACUGUGAGUGUUGUGAAGUUAAAUUUGAAGAUUUAAAAUUGCAUUUGAAUGGAAAUCAACACAGACAAUUUGCUUUAAACAGUAAUAACUAUGCAGGUGUUGAUGAU